rnacentral:rRNA from 1 species
AUGCAAGUCGAGCGAAGCUUUUCAGUAGUUUACUACAGAAAAUGACUGAGCGGCGAACGGGUGAGUAACGCGUGAGCGACCUACCUUAGUUACUGGGAUAGCCCGAGGAAACUCGGAUUAAUACCGGAUAUUCUUAUUUAAUCACAUGAUUUUUUAAGGAAAGGUCAGCCGAACUAAGAUGGGCUCGCGUUCUAUCAGCUAGUUGGUAGGGUAAUGGCCUACCAAGGCUACGACGGAUAGCUGGUCUGAGAGGACGAUCAGCCACACUGGGACUGAGACACGGCCCAGACUCCUACGGGAGGCUGCAGCAGGGAAUAUUGCGCAAUGAGCGAAAGCUUGACGCAGCGACACCGCGUGUGGGAUGACGGAUCUAGGUUUGUAAACCACCUUCAGGAGGGAAGAAAAUGACGGUACCUCCACAAGAAGCCCCGGCCAACUACGUGCCAGCAGCCGCGGUAAUACGUAGGGGGCGAGCGUUGUCCGGAUUUAUUGGGCGUAAAGAGCUCGUAGGCGGUUCAACAAGUCGGUCGUGAAAGUUCAGGGCUCAACCCUGAAAUGUCGAUCGAUACUGUUGUGACUAGGAUACGGUAGAGGUGAGUGGAAUUCCGAGUGUAGCGGUGAAAUGCGUAGAUAUUCGGAGGAACACCAAUUGCGAAGGCAGCUCACUGGGCCGCUAUCGACGCUGAGGAGCGAAAGCUAGGGGAGCAAACAGGAUUAGAUA